rnacentral:rRNA from 1 species
CGCAUCUGUGCAUGCAGCAUAUCAAUAAGCGGAGGAAAAGAAAUUAACAAGGAUUCCCUUAGUAACGGCGAGUGAAGCGGGAAGAGCUCAAAUUUGAAAUCUUCAAGGUUUUACCUUGACGAAUUGUAGUUUAAAGAAGUGUUUUCUGUUGAAGUUUUGGUAAAAGUUCUUUGGAAUAGGACAUCAUAGAGGGUGAGAAUCCCGUAUUUGACCAUUAUUUUCAGCUGUGUGAUACACUUUCAAAGAGUCGGAUUGUUUGGGAAUGCAGGUCCAAAAUGGGUGGUAAAUUUCAUCUAAAGCUAAAUAUUGGCGAGAGACCGAUAGCGAACAAGUACCGUGAGGGAAAGAUGAAAAUGAACUUUGAAAAGAGAGUUAAACAGUACGUGAAAUUGUCAAAAGGGAAGCGUUUGACACCAGUGUUGUUUCUCUCGAAAAUCAAUUAAAAAGAGUUAGAUUUUGUUGUGUAUUGACCUUAACAGCUUGCAUUUCAAUUUUCUUGCUUUUUUUAAUGCACUUUUCGUUUAACAAGUCAACAUCAGUUUCUUUUGUUGUAAAAAGGUCAUUGGAAGGUGGCUUUCUUUUCGGAGAAAGUGUUUAUAGCCUUUGACUCCUGCAAUCGGAGAGACUGAGGUCUGCAGCGUAGAUCCUUCGGGGUUAGAUACAUUUGUGCUAAGUUAUAGCUUUUUAUAGACAACUUGUUGACUAUGAUUAGUCUUGUAGCUUACUCGCUUAUGCUAUUUUACCUACGCUUAGGAUGUUGAUGUGAUACUGCGAGC